UACAGGUUUACUGGACAUGACUUAUUUUCCUGAAGUGGACCACUAGAAUUCUCCUCGAGCACACACGUGAACAGAAGAAUGCAAGUGCUCUGUAUGCCAUGCAGCCUGGGAUGGAUUAGAGGACAGCUUGGGGAAGAACGCAGGGGCAAGAAAACAGAGCUCCAUCUGCUGCUGAGGACGGUAGAGAAGGAAUUGAGGGGGCCACGCCACGCACGCGCCUAACAAACACUGAUGGCAUGAGGAGGCACCAGGGCAUGUGCACAGUGCAGCACUGCUGGAAAAAAAAUCGUGGGUCGUCGGUGCGAGGGCGCACCAACACACAGCGGAGCACCCACAGGGACAUCACUUGAAGGAAAACACUUGUAUUUUAAUACUUCUUUGCUGAGUGCCAUUAAACUACAGUUUCUGCAACUGCCAGGUAUUUGUAUAUAUUCGGACAGUAUCCCACUACAAGGCCUCAACUUUUCAUUGGGAA